CAGCAGCCACGGUAAUACGGAGGGUGCAAGCGUUAAUCGGAAUUACUGGGCGUAAAGCGCACGCAGGCGGUUUGUUAAGUCAGAUGUGAAAUCCCCGAGCUUAACUUGGGAACUGCAUUUGAAACUGGCAAGCUAGAGUCUUGUAGAGGGGGGUAGAAUUCCAGGUGUAGCGGUGAAAUGCGUAGAGAUCUGGAGGAAUGCCGGUGGCGAAGGCGGCCCCCUGGACAAAGACUGACGCUCAGGUGCGAAAGCGUGGGGAGCAAACAGGAUUAGAUACCCGUGUAGUCCCUGUCUCUUAUAC
rnacentral:rRNA from 1 species